rnacentral:tRNA from 1 species
GCCUUCGUGGUGUAAUGGUCAGCACACUGAGCCGGUACUUCAGAGGUCGGUGGUUCGAUUCCCGGCGAAGGCG